UUUCUGUCCCAUCUCUAUUCUCUCUGCUCUCUUUUCUCUCUUUCAAUCAACUCUAUUGACCAAGGUGGUUUCCGGGUGGAUGGGACAAGAAUCAAGCUUCGAUUUUGGAUGUAAUCAUGUAUAUAGACCUAUCAAGCACUGUAUUAAAGCUCAGAACGCGACAGUUUUGGUAAAUCUUAAAUUCUUCUUUUUCCAUUUCUUAAAUUUUUGAUUUCGGGUUUUGUAAAGUGAUUCGUUCAUGUGCAUGUUCAAGAUCAAUUGGGUUGUGAAUAACCAUAUCUUAUAUGGCGUGGGUGGUUAUAUUAGCUUCUUGGACUACCUCUGUGAGGUAUAUUAGAAUUUCGUCAUAAUUGCUGACCUAAUAUUUAUUGAUAAACCUGUGGUCGAUUGUUUUCUGGUCAUAGAUGUUUGCUGGAAUUGGGGCUUAUUUUUCUUAUUCUGAUCAUAAGUUUAAAAUUAUUAAAUGUAACAUUGCAUAUUUUCAUGUAGGUAACAUGAGGAGGGAAUUAGUUGCUAAGAAACAUAUCCCUUUGACAAAGCCUUCAAAGCCUUCAAACAGGGGAAAAAAUGCAGA
rnacentral:lncRNA from 1 species